rnacentral:rRNA from 1 species
GACGAACGCUGGCGGCGUGCUUAACACAUGCAAGUCGAACGGAAAGGCCCAGCUUGCUGGUACUUGAAGCGGCAAACGGGUGAGUAAACCCUGGGAAUCUGCCCUGUACUCUGGGAUAAGGCCGGGAAACUGGGGCUAAUACCGGAUAUGACCAAAUGGCGCAAGGGGGUUGGCUGAAAACCUUUCGCGUGCGGGUGGGGCCCGGGGGGGUUGAGCGAGUGGGGGGGGUAAUGGCCUGCCAAGGGGAGGUCCGGAAGUCGGCCGGGGGGGGUGAUCAGCCACACUGGAACUGAGACAGGGUCCAGAGUCCUAAGGGAGGCAGCAGUGGGGAAGAGUGGACAAGGGGCGAAAGCCUGAGCCAGCCAUGCCGCGGGUGUGAAGAAGGUCUUCGGAUUGUAAAGCACUGUAAGUUGGGAGGAAGGGCAGUAAGUUAAGACCUUGCUGUUUUGACGUCACCAACAGAAUAAGCACCGGCUAACUUCGUG